rnacentral:rRNA from 1 species
CAGCCGCCACGGUAAUACGAAGGGUGCAAGCGUUACUCGGAAUUACUGGGCGUAAAGCGUGCGUAGGUGGUGGUUUAAGUCCGUUGUGAAAGCCCUGGGCUCAACCUGGGAAUUGCAGUGGAUACUGGGUCACUAGAGUGUGGUAGAGGAUAGUGGAAUUUCCGGUGUAGCAGUGAAAUGCGUAGAGAUCGGAAGGAACAUCUGUGGCGAAGGCGACUAUCUGGGCCAACACUGACACUGAGGCACGAAAGCGUAGGGAGCAAACAGGAUUAGAUACCCCUGUAGUCCCUGUCUCUUAUAC